rfam:Micromonospora lupini str. Lupac 08 genomic scaffold, 1951_scaffold4
GCCCGCGUAGCUCAGGGGACAGAGCACCAGCUUCCGGAGUUGGGUGUCGGGGGUUCGAUUCCCUCCGCGGGUG